CGUCACAGGGCCGCGCCGCGCGCCGCUCCGGGAAGUCGACGCCUUUACGACGCGCGGCACGGAAGAUGCUCGACCCAGGCUCCCACAGGGAGUAGGAGGUCUUUGCUCCUCCAUGAUGUAACCUGGACAAGUCUUCACCCCUGUAGAACACUGCAUCUAAGUGGGCGGAGAGUAACAGAUGGACUUCGAAUAAACCUCAGGCAGAAGAGUAUAAUCUUCAAAAGCUGCCUUCCCUUCCCGCUCAGCCCUCGACAGCCUCCAGUCGGUCUCCCACGUACGGUGCCUUCCGUGGCCUGGGCCGGCACACGCUGCCUGCCGUCGUCCGUUCCGGUCCGUUUCCCGAUCCCCACGACUCCACAUUUCCUGCGGGUUCUGUCAAGAGGAGAUGUGCGUACCCGCCGGCCGCCUGGCAUUCUCCGGCUCUCGGGAUUCUGGGACCAAAACCGCAGCCUCUGCCCCGGGUCGGCGAGGGCCGCGUGGAGCAGGGCGCGCGCGUUCGCGCCGAGGCCUCGAAGCGUGUGGAAGAGCAGAGCGCGCUCCCGGGAGAGCGAGGGCGCGGGAAGCUGCUGUGUCUGAGUUUCCAGAUAGUUUCGUGCGUGUUUGACUCGAAAGCACAGGAAGCCUGUGGCUUGCCCACAGAAGGGACCGAGUAACCGUGAGGAGGACGAGGACGGCCAAAUACCAGCCUGCACAGCGGGCCGUGGGGCCCUGCGCCCUGGGGCGUCCCUUCCCGUGACCCCACCGGAGCUGGAAGGCGCAGGCCAUGGUGCAGGAGUCGGAAGCCAGGACCGCCCUCAGGAGGCCUGGGAUGGGUCGGCGUGCGUGCCCGUGUCGCCGGCCCUCACGGGCGGCUGCCAAGCGUGGCAGCGUGGGGCGCCCAUGUAUGCGCCCCGGCCUCGGGGAGAAGGCCCCGGUGGACGCGAGCUUUGACACCCUCCGCUCGGAUCUGAACCCAGGUUUCUAAUUUCCCCGUCAUUUGCCCUUUCUCCCUCCCCCUGGGCCGGCUUCUCUGUCAUUUCAUUUCCUGCAGUAGUUCUCAUCUUACAGCAGAGGUGAAGAGAGCUGACCUCUCCUUGCCCUGAAGCUGAAUAAAACACAGAACAGA